UGGGGAAUAUUGCACAAUGGGCGGAAGCCUGAUGCAGCAACGCCGCGUGCGGGAUGACGGCCUUCGGGUUGUAAACCGCUUUCGCCUGUGACGAAGCGUGAGUGACGGUAAUGGGUAAAGAAGCACCGGCUAACUACGUGCCAGCAGCCGCGGUGAUACGUAGGGUGCGAGCGUUGUCCGGAUUUAUUGGGCGUAAAGGGCUCGUAGGUGGUUGAUCGCGUCGGAAGUGUAAUCUUGGGGCUUAACCCUUAGCGUGCUUUCGAUACGGGUUGACUUGAGGAAGGUAGGGGAGAAUGGAAUUCCUGGUGGAGCGGUGGAAUGCGCAGAUAUCAGGAGGAACACCAGUGGCGAAGGCGGUUCUCUGGGCCUUUCCUGACGCUGAGGAGCGAAAGCGUGGGGAGCGAACA
rnacentral:rRNA from 1 species